UUGAGAAGGACCACAAGAAGCGUCGUGUGCUCAUUAUCAUUUUCAAAGUAAAGUACAUAAUAACACGUAAUCUUCCUGCUUGUAACAUUAUAUAGAAAUUACGUUCACGCUCCCAGUGGUUGCUUUCCAACGAACUGAACGGAGAACACGCACAGUGUGAGUUCACAAAGCAGAUUUCAAAAGUUAUAUGGAGCCCAGUGUUACGGAAGAGGGGUUUGCAAUGCUUAAUUUGACACUCAGAAAAACGGCACAACGGCCAGACGGAAGAGUCUGAUGAAAGAGAGAUUGGUGUAACUCCAGGUUUUGCCGUCUGCAAAGGUUCUGGAGACUAUGCGUCCCUGGCUGUCAUAUUCUACCCUCUCGACUGUGGGGCCUCUCUGAAUGCUUGUGACCUGACCAGUGCCAGAAUAGGUG